UACGGAGGGUGCAAGCGUUAUCCGGAUUCACUGGGUUUAAAGGGUGCGUAGGUGGGCAGGUAAGUCAGUGGUGAAAUCUCCGGGCUUAACUCGGAACGGUCAAGUGAUACUGUCGGGCUAGAGUGCAGAAGGGGCAACUGGAAUUCUCGGUGUAGCGGUGAAAUGCGUAGAUAUCGAGAGGAACACCUGCGGCGAAGGCGGGUUGCUGGGCCGACACUGACGCUGAUGCGCGAAAGCCAGGGGAGCGAACGGG
rnacentral:rRNA from 1 species